GUCCCUGUAGUGCUAUGGAUGGCGCGUUGGACUUCUAAUCCAAAUAUCGUGGGUUCGAACCCCACCCGGGAUG